GAGGGUGUAGCUCAGUGGUAGAGUAGCUGCCUAGUUUGCACGAAGCCCUAGGUUCAAUCCCCAGCACCUCCA
rnacentral:tRNA from 1 species